AAAAAGCCGUAUUGCAACAAGCUCAUUUGUACCGCUGUGGACGGAUAACAUGAGAACAAAUGAGCACUUUGUGUGUCAGAUUCCUUCAUGUUGUUUUUAUUGGGUCCAUUAGGCAGCUGGUUGCAGAGUCCCCGAGGUGAAAGAUAAUGUUGCUGGUUAAAACAGUGAUUGCUGCCCUCUCAUUGGACUCUUUGAAUUACCGGACAGCAGUUUCAGGAAAAGUGGAAUCGGGGCGUGAGUCAAUUCAGAAGAUGCUUCUACUGAAUGCUUGACAGACGGAUGUACGGACAGACAUGGAUGGAUGGAUGGAUGCUGACCAGAGCCCAGUCCUCCUUCCUGCCAGUCAGUCAGAGACAGGAUGCGGAGCGAUCAGCCUGGGAUCGUCAUGGAAACCUGUGUCCUGCAGGCCUGAAUAAUGCAGUACCUGGGAUAAAUUUACAGCAUUUGAAGUCCCGCAGAAGACUGAUCAUAGCUGUAGCUGCACCCUUUCAUAUUCAUGCCUAAUAAAUGGAUUGGUUCCACUGUGGUUUCCAGACCUUACUGAAAAGGAGUGGACGCCUACGUCCCAGAGCGAGCUAAAGUAAACACGCACAUGUAUCAGGAGUCAAUAUUUGCAGCUGCCUCCUGUGCUGCUUUACUCGUGUCCCUCACUGUCAUCCGGCAGCUUUCUAACAUCCUGCAGCCAUCUUAGUGCAUGUUUUCAGAAGACUUUGAGUCUGCAACCCAGGCGUCAUCCUCUGUGCCCUAUUCCACUAAAAGCAAACGUCCCCAUCACCACCUUGAAACUCAAACCUCCCUCCGGCACAGUCAAGUGUCAUUCAGUCUGGGAGCUGUUAGCUAUCUGUUAAUAAUUCAGUCAAAUAAUGACCUAAAUUAACAGAUUUCCUCUCACUAUAUUUAUCCUUCUCUCAUAAUACCCAUGUCCUUUACCAAGAACAUUGCGUGGGUAAGUCCAACAAGCCUCAGAAGGUCAAUGGAGACAGAACAAAAAACAAAAGAAAAAAGUCAAGGCUUGUUAAUCCGCAGUCUUGAGCUCCAAACGCAUCUCAUCUCUAUUAUCUGGAAAUAACAUGGUCGAGAGCUGAAGGUCGGCGUACUCGAGAUGAGCAAGACAAAUCAUCUUUUCAUUAGAGCAUGAAGCAGACAGACAGAGGAGCCCCUCAGAGGGUGGAGAAGGUGGAGGGGGAAAUGAGACGGAAUGGAAAAUGAAGAUGGAUGGCUCCAUCAGGUCAGAGAGAAACAGUAGGCUGCAGGUGAACGGACACAGAUCCUUAAUAAAGUUGCCUCUCUGCAGUGUUUCUUAUGUGUUAUUUUUAUUUGUUCAGCAUCCUGAAUGUGUGCUUUAAAAAGGAAGCAAAGUGAAGUGACAUUUACAGACUGAAACAAGAAAAUGAUUUCAGUCUGAGUCAUGGCUCCCUUCCUCAUUUAUGACUCAGAUGGUUUCUUAUCACAGUUAAAGAUAGACAAAGGGUCGAUUUUAACUUCUAAUAUGGACCACAAAUAGAUUGUCUUUUCUGGUGACAAAUAGUCACUACUAAACAGUCUUCAGAA